UACGAAGGGGGCUAGCGUUGCUCGGAAUCACUGGGCGUAAAGCGCACGUAGGCGGACUCUUAAGUCGGGGGUGAAAGCCCAGGGCUCAACCCUGGAACUGCCUUCGAUACUGGGAGUCUUGAGUGUGGAAGAGGUUGGUGGAACUGCGAGUGUAGAGGUGAAAUUCGUAGAUAUUCGCAAGAACCCCAGUGGCGAAGGCGGCCAACUGGUCCACUACUGACGCUGAGGUGCGAAAGCGUGGGGAGCAAACAGG
rnacentral:rRNA from 1 species